GAUGAACGCUGGCGGCGUGCCUAAUACAUGCAAGUCGAGCGACCGGACGAGAAGCUUGCUUCUCUGAUGUUAGCGGCUGACGGGUGAGUAACACGUGGAUAACCUACCUAUAAGACUUGGAUAACUUCGUGAAACCGGAGCUAAUACCGGAUAAUAUUUUGAACCGCAUGGUUCAAAAGUUAAAGACGGUUUUGCUGUCACUUAUAGAUGUAUCCGCGCUGCCUUAGCUAGUUGGUAAGGUAACGGCUUACCAAGGCAACGAUGCAUAGCCGACCUGAGAGGGUGAUCGGCCACACUGGAAAUGAGAAAAGGUCCAAAAUCCUAAGGGAGGCAGCAGGAGGGAAACUUCCGAAAUGGGCGAAAGCCUGAAGGAGCAAAGCCGCGGGAGUGAGGAAGGUCUUCGGAUCGGAAAACUCUGUUAGUAGGGAAGAAAAAAUGUGUAAGUAACUGUGCACAUCUUGAAGGUACCUAAUAAGAAAGCCACGGCUAACUACGUG
rnacentral:rRNA from 1 species